GCACAUUCCCGUUUCACCAAAGAACAAAGAGUAGCUGUAGCUCAAGCGACUGUCCGCCCCCGACCCCCACCCCCGGUACAGUCCCCAGAGUUUCUGCCAAAGCACCAACUGCCCUCAAGUUUUAAUGAGGAGAGGGAAAAUGCCUGCUCCAGACGGGCAGCCGACGGGCAGCCGACGGCCGCGCGGGGCAGGCCGUGUCUUGCAGUUCUUCCCCCAGUGCCAAGCACUGGGAGUCAGGAGGCUGCACAUGAACCACCUUGUAUGAUCUCCACCAUAACCUGUCCUCCAGGGCAGGAAUUUGAAAUCUAAGUCAUGGAUGAAAAACAGAAGCAGCAGAGACUUGCCCAUGGCACAAACCAUGCCACAGAGCAAAAAAAAUCCCUUGACCGGAUCAGUGUAAAUGAUCUCAGUAAUGUGUCAUGCAGGACCACUGAGACGCCCUACAAAAGCAUUGUAAUUGACAUAGUUCUAUAACUAUGUUUUUAUAGGGACCAAACCGGAUCUGGCUCCUGUUCCUGUUCCUCUAGUGCCAUUCAGUCUGAGGCUCUCUGCACACCUCUCCUUCAUCUCCAGUUCUAACACCAUCCUUGCUGAGCAGCUCCAGCUCAGAAGCCUUUGAGAGGGAACUGACACUAAUUUUAACCACUCC